UUCUCCUCAUCUGGUAGCCCCGCUUAUACUUUCUGCCUGGCCCCUGGCCAAUCAGUGUUUUAGUCAUCAACCAAUAAGAGAAACAUACAUACAGGACAUUCCCCCAUCACUUUUCCCUUCCUUAUAAAAUGAGGGUUCUGGUCCAGUGGUUCUUUUUCUGACUUUCAGUGUGUUUGGGCUUUGCUAGCUGCCACACCCUGACCCCACUCUCUGGGUCUCUCUCCCUUCACAUGCCAUCCUGCACAGGGCAUUCUUAAUGAAGCCGUGGGAAACUGCUGAUGGCCAGAUGGUUGUCUUAGAAACACUUGGAUGUCAGAGCAUCCGGUCCUGACUAAGGCCCUGCUGGGGAGUCUCCCCAGAAAUGCUAUUGGUAGUGGUGGGUCUGCUCCUUGGAUCUCGUGACACAGGCAUUAUUGUUUGCAAGGAGCUUCGUGGGACCGGGGAUGCAGCCCAUUUGACAGAAUGCCUGCUUAGAUGCACACGGCUUGGGCUGUGAUCACCAUCACAGCAUAAAACCAGGCGUGAUGACGGAUGCCUCUAACUUCAGCACUCAGGAAGCUGAGGCAUAAGGAUUGAAAGUUUAAGAUCCUCCUUGGCUACUUGAGAUGCCUUCUCGGAACCCUAAAGGAAGCAUCAUUAAAAAAACUAUCCAUCUAUGUAUCUGUUUGUUUUUGAGGGACGAGGUGAUGGGUACCAGCCUUUCCCUUCAAGUCUCUGGCAUCUGUUCCUGAAGAUGAUCAGUAUUAAGCCUGGCCUGGUUGCAGAAGUUUGCAAUGUCAUCUUUUUUGGAAACUGAGGCAGGAGGAUCUCAAGUUCAAGGCCAGCCUGGGUCCCUGUGACCCUGGUGGCCCAUGGUGCCUUCUCUCUGCAAAUUCUUUCGCGUGGCUUCUGCAGUAUAUACUACACGACCUGAUGCUCAGCCACCCUGCUGACCUCAUCCUGUGUCGCCCACCCCCUCGGCCACUGGGCUGCAGCCAUAUUGGAUUGCUUGCUUAGUGGUUGUUCUGCCUCAGGACCUUGCACCUGCUCUUGCCCCAGUAUGCUGGCUGUGCGUGGGAUUUCCUGGGGAUUCAGAAAGAAAGGUAGUGUCUGGCCCAUCUGCAGACUCUGCUCCGUUGGUCCAGGAAGCGGCCUGGGCAUCGUUGUAUUUCUCAAGUUCUCUGAGUGCCUCUGUGGAGCCCCCUAGUCAAAGGGUGGCACCCCCUGGGCAGUACUCAGAGGACCUUUCCCUGACCUCAGCGUCCAGCAUGGCUGUCUGUGCAUCUCAGCUUCCCCACCACUUCCCAGACAGCUCCCCUUUCACGUCUCUUGGCAGAGUGCCAUCUGACCUGUAACGGGGCCGUUGUGUGGCUGGGACCAGAAAACCUAGAAUUGCCAUCAGUCACUUCCUUUUUCUUAUACGUAGCAUCUCAUCCAUCGAUGAACCCCUGGACACAACUUUCAGAUCCUUCCUCAGUCUGACCCCUUCUCACUUCCUCCAACACCGUAGCUACCCUGGUGCCACUACCCUGGCUCCCCCUCCCAGCCAAGCUCUCUGCCUCCAGCUUGGAUUCUGCAGUCUAGACACACCACACAGUGGCCUGUGACACACAUCUGAUCAAGUCAUCUCUGGUGCUCAAGCCUUUAGCAGCUUUGCAUCUAACUGGAACUGAAGAAGAAGCCCUCACGUGGCCUGGCUGUCAUCUGACCCUCAGCUGCCUACAAGGCCUCAUCUUAGACCUCUUCUGUCCUCAGGUCUCAAGCUCAGCCGCAUCAGCCUUAUGGUUGUGCAUGCCUCGGGAUCUUUGCCAGUUCUGAGACCCAGACACUUACCCCCUACAAAGGAUGAUCAGUGAUCAUUCUUGGAGGGAUUGUCCCUGGCCCAAAAUGGACAACAUGCCAUGCCCUUCUUUGCUUUAAAAUAAUAUUUAUCAUCUCUGAUGCUGUAUCGAAUGUAUAGUUGCAUAUAGUUUAUCUCUAGUACCACAAUGUAAAUGUUACAAAACCAGGACUUUGUAGAUUUCUAUAGAGAAUGGCAUCUGAGGCUAGGGACCUAUUCAGUGUAGUCUGGUUGUUUAGCAUGCACAAGGCCCUGGUUUUGAGCCCCAGACCGCUAUGUUGGGCUAGGGGUGGAUUUCAUAUCUAUACAUACUAGGUAGUUAGUAGUGUAGGUGGAGUUUCUGUCCCUCCUGGUCCCGAAGCCCCAUUUAGUCCCAAAUAAACACACAGAGGCUUAUAUUAAUUAUAA